rnacentral:piRNA from 1 species
UGCAUGGUGUAUGACUGUGGGCCCGAGA